GCCCCCGUAUCCCAAUCGGCAGAGGAAUCCGCCUUAAAAGCGGAAGAGUCUGGGUUCGAGUCCCAGCGGGGGCACCA
rnacentral:tRNA from 1 species